rnacentral:tRNA from 1 species
GCUUUAGCUCAGUGGUAGAGCGUGGGAUUGCAGUCUCCUGCAACCAUCCUAAGGUCACUUGUUCGAACCAGGUAGGGAGCU